GAUGAACGCUGGCGGCGUGCUUAACACAUGCAAGUCGAACGAGGUCCAACCUUCGGGUGAAGACCUAGCGGCGAACGGGUGAGUAACACGUGGGGAACCUGCCCUUCUCUCUGGGAUAACGUCGAGAAAUCGGUGCUAAUACCGGAUACUCCUUGCGGAUCGCAUGGUCUGCUCGGGAAAGCUCCGGCGGAGAUGGAUGGCCCCGCGGCCCAUUAGCUAGUUGGUGAGGUAACGGCCCACCAAGGCGACGAUGGGUAGCCGAGCUGAGAGGCUGAUCGGCCACACUGGGACUGAGACACGGCCCAGACUCCUACGGGAGGCAGCAGUGGGGAAUUUUGCACAAAGGGCGAAAGCCUGAUCCAGCAAUGCCGCGUGCGUGAAGAAGGCCUUCGGGUUGUAAAGCGCUUUUGUCUGGGAGCAAAUCCUGACCCCUAAUACAGGUUGGGGAUGAGAGUACCAGAAGAAUAAGGACCGGCUAACUACGUGCCAGCCGCCGCCGUAA
rnacentral:rRNA from 1 species